rnacentral:rRNA from 1 species
UACGUAGGGAGCAAGCGUUGUUCGGAUUUACUGGGCGUAAAGGGCGCGUAGGCGGCAAUUCAAGUCAUCUGUGAAAUCUCCGGGCUUAACUCGGAACGGUCAGAUGAUACUGCUUUGCUAGAGUGCGGAAGGGGCAAUCGGAAUUCUCGGUGUAGCGGUGAAAUGCGUAGAUAUCGAGAGGAACACCAGAGGCGAAGGCGGCGACCUGGACCGACACUGACGCUGAGGAGCGAAAGCCAGGGGAGCAAACGGG